UGAGGAAUAUUGGUCAAUGGGGGGAACCCUGAACCAGCCAUCCCGCGUGCAGGAAGACAGUUCUAUGGAUUGUAAACUGCUUUUCUUGGGGAAGAAUAAUGACGACGUGUCGUCAGAUGACGGUACCCGAGGAAUAAGCAUCGGCUAACUCCGUGCCAGCAGCCGCGGUAAUACGGAGGAUGCGAGCGUUAUCCGGAUUUAUUAGGUUUAAAGGGUGUGUAGGCGGAUGUAUAAGUCAGUGGUGAAAGUCAGCAGCUUAACUGUAGAAUUGCCAUUGAUACUGUAUGUCUUGAGUGUGGUUGAGGUAUGCGGAAUGUGUAAUGUAGCGGUGAAAUGCAUAGAUAUUACACAGAACACCGAUUGCGAAGGCAGCAUGCUAAGCCACAACUGACGCUGAUGCACGAAAGCGUGGGGAUCAAACAG
rnacentral:rRNA from 1 species